rnacentral:sRNA from 1 species
AGCCUUGCCUUCGCUGCUGUUGGGGCUGGAAGUUCCCGCCAGGUCAGUGCCGGGCGAGAGAGAUGCUGCCCGGCCCGCCUCGGCUUUGAGGCGAGAGUCGUGUCCCAGACCCCUUUCGCCUUGCUGACGGCGUCGAGCCCCGGCCAGACAUGUCCACAGGGUUCUCCUUCGGGUCCGGGACUCUGGGCUCCACCACCGUGGCCGCCGGUGGGACCGGCACGGGCGGCGGUUUCUCCUUCGGAACGGGAGCGUCUAGCAACCCUUCUGUGGGGCUCAAUUUUGGAAAUCUUGGAAGUACGUCAGCUCCAGCAACUACAUCUGCUCCUUCAAGUGGUUUUGGAACCGGGCUCUUUGGAUCUAAACCUGCCACUGGGUUCACUCUAGGAGGAACAAAUACAGGAAUAGCAACAACUAUAACUACAGGAUUAACUCUGGGUAAGAAUUUUUGAGGAAAGAUCCCAGCUCUGUGGUCUUCUAAUAAUUUUAAUAAAUUGAGUGAUGUUUCUACUCUUUUCUAAUAUUUCACAGAGCUGGGGUAUAGAAAAAAGUGUAUAUCACAGAUGGUGACUUAUCGGAG